UAAAACGACCCUUUUGUUGCACUCUUUGGGGUGUUUUAAAACAUGGAAACUUGAUACACUCAGAAAUCUGUGGAUCACAGCGGAUCACAAACACCUCAGUUUAGUUAAAAUUGUGAGUACAAAAACAAUGAAAGAAAAAUUUAAAAAAUAUAAGAUUAGGUAUUGGUAAACUAUAAAACAACGCUUCAUCAAGAUUAUAUCAGUAAAUUACAAGACUAUAUCGAAAAUUUAAGAUCUAAGAAAAAUUGCAUGACCACAUAAUAAUUCGUACAUAGUAUGAUUAUGUUAUUAAUCGUAAGUAAUAAAAUCAGCAUAGUACAUUUAUAUUGCAGCAUAUACAUGCACAUCGUGUGUCCUCUUUUGUUAUGAUUUCAUAACGGUCCCAAUGAAAUCUGAAGGGGCCCUUCCACAGGUAUUGCAUCACUCUCAAAAAGGAAGCUGUGCUGCAGUGGGGAGAAACCAUCCCCUGCAGCCAACUAAAAAUUGAUGAGCAACAGGGCACAAUAGGAACUCUCUACAGGCCAAGAUCA
rnacentral:lncRNA from 1 species